rnacentral:rRNA from 1 species
GACGAACGCUGGCGGCGUGCUUAACACAUGCAAGUCGAACGCUGAAGCUCAGCUUUUGUUGGGUGGAUGAGUGGCGAACGGGUGAGUAACACGUGAGUAACCUGCCCCCUUCUUUGGGAUAACGCCCGGAAACGGGUGCUAAUACUGGAUAUUCACUGGUCUUCGCAUGGGGGUUGGUGGAAAGGGUUUUUCUGGUGGGGGAUGGGCUCGCGGCCUAUCAGCUUGUUGGUGGGGUGAUGGCCUACCAAGGCUUUGACGGGUAGCCGGCCUGAGCGGGUGACCGGUCACUGAGGGACAGAGGUACGGCCCAGACUCCUACGGGGGGCAGAAGUGGGGAAUAAUGAGCAGUGGGGGAAAGCCUGAUGCAGCGACGCGGCGUGAGGGAUGGAGGCGCUCGGGUUGUGAACCUCUUUCGCUCAUGGUCAAGCCGCAACAAUGGUUGUGGUGAGGGUAGUGGGUAAAGAAGCGCCGGCUAACUACGUG